rnacentral:rRNA from 1 species
GUGCCAGCCGCCGCGGUAAUACGGAGGGUGCAAGCGUUGUUCGGAAUUAUUGGGCGUAAAGCGCGUGUAGGCGGUCUGUUAAGUCUGAUGUGAAAGCCCGGGGCUCAACCCCGGAAGUGCAUUGGAUACUGGUCGACUUGAGUACGGGAGAGGGUAGUGGAAUUUCGCGUGUAGGGGUGAAAUCCGUAGAUAUUCGAAGGAAACCCGGUGGCGAAGGCGGCUACCUGGACCGACACCGACGCUGAGACGCGAAAGCGUGGGGAGCAAACAGGAUUAGAUACCCUGGUAGUCCAAGCCGUAA